rnacentral:tRNA from 1 species
GGUGGCUCAGUGGUAGUAGAGCACUUGCCUUGCAUGCAUGAGGCUCUGGGUUCAAUUCCUCAGCACCA